AUACGGGAGGCAGCAGUAGGGAAUAUUGGUCAAUGGGCGAGAGCCUGAACCAGCCAUGCCGCGUGCAGGAAGAAGGCCUUCUGGGUUGUAAACUGCUUUUAUCAGGGAAGAAAACGCUCUUGCGAGAGUAACUGACGGUACCUGAGGAAUAAGCACCGGCUAACUCCGUGCCAGCAGCCGCGGUAAUACGGAGGGUGCAAGCGUUGUCCGGAUUUAUUGGGUUUAAAGGGUGCGUAGGCGGGCUAUUAAGUCAGUGGUGAAAGCCGGCAGCUCAACUGUCGAACUGCCAUUGAUACUGAUAGCCUUGAGUACAGAUGAGGUGGGCGGAAUUUAUGGUGUAGCGGUGAAAUGCAUAGAUACCAUAAAGAACACCGAUAGCGAAGGCAGCUCACUAAACUGUAACUGACGCUGAGGCACGAAAGCAUGGGGAUCGAACAGGAUUAGAUACCCUGGU
rnacentral:rRNA from 1 species